AAGGUGGUGUGGCUGAAGAACCAGGUGUGGGUGGAUUCACCCCGAGGUGUGGGUGUUUUUGGGGUGUUUUUGGGGUGCAUUUCUGGUCCCUCCUGACCCUCGGUGCCCCCUGGCCAGCCCAAGGUGGUGUGGCUGAAGAACCAGGUUUUGGGUGUUUUUGGGGUGUUUUUGGGGUGGUUUUGGGGUGGAUUUUGGGGGUCUCCCAAUCCAUUCUUUGCAUCCCAAUGGGGCUGUGGAUUCACCCCAAGGCGUGGGUGUUUCUGGGGUGUUUUUGGGGUACAUUUCUGGCCCCUCCUGACCAGUUUUUCCCCCUGGCCAGCCCAAGGUGGUGUGGCUGAAGAACCAGAUGGCCAUCGGGGACGACCCGCGGUUCCUGGCCCGGCACAGCCAGGGGGUGCUGACCCUGCUCAUCCGCAAGCCGGGGCCCUUCGACGGCGGCACCUACAGCUGCAGGGCCAGCAACGAGCUGGGGGAGGCCCUGACCGAGUGCAGGCUCGAGAUCCGCGGUGAGGGGGCACC